AUUGAACGCUGGCGGCAGGCCUAACACAUGCAAGUCGAGCGGAUGAAGGGAGCUUGCUCCUGGAUUCAGCGGCGGACGGGUGAGUAAUGCCUAGGAAUCUUCCUGGUAGUGGGGGAUAACGUCCGUAAACGGGCGCUAAUACCGCAUACGUCCUGAGGGAGAAAGUGGGGGAUCUUCGGACCUCACGCUAUCAGAUGAGCCUAGGUCGGAUUAGCUAGUUGGUGGGGUAAAGGCCUACCAAGGCGACGAUCCGUAACUGGUCUGAGAGGAUGAUCAGUCACACUGGAACUUAGACACGGUCCAGACUCCUACGGGAGGCAGCAGUGUGGAAUAUUGGACAAUGGGCGAAAGCCUUAUCCAACCAUGCCGCGUGUGUUAAGAAGGUCUUCGGAUUGUAAAGCACUUUAAGUUGGGAGGAAGGGCAGUAAGUUAAUACCUUGCUGUUUUGACGUUACCAACAGAAUAAGCACCGGCUAACUUCGUG
rnacentral:rRNA from 1 species